AUGAACGCUAGCGACAGGCCUAACACAUGCAAGUCAGGGGCAGCACAAGGAGCAAUCUGAGGUGGCGACCGGCGCACGGGUGAGUAACACGUAUGCAACCUGCCUGUAAGCGGGGAAUAACCCGUUGAAAGACGGACUAAUACCGCAUAAUACUAAAUUACUGCAUGGUAAUUUAUUUAAACAUUUAUGGCUUACAGAUGGGCAUGCGCAUGAUUAGCUAGUUGGAGAGGUAACGGCUCCCCAAGGCAACGAUCAUUAGGGGUUCUGAGAGGAAGGUCCCCCACACUGGUACUGAGACACGGACCAGACUCCUACGGGAGGCAGCAGUGAGGAAUAUUGGUCAAUGGACGAGAGUCUGAACCAGCCAAGUCGCGUGCAGGAAGAAUGUCCCUAUGGAUUGUAAACUGCUUUUGCAGGGGAAUAAAGUGCAUCACGUGUGAUGUUUUGUAUGUACUCUGCGAAUGAGGAUCGGCUAACUCCGUGCCAGCCGCCGC
rnacentral:rRNA from 1 species